rnacentral:rRNA from 1 species
UACAGAGACUGCAAGCGUUAUUCGGAUUCACUGGGCGUAAAGGGUGCGCAGGCGCCAAGUGUGUCAGGUGUGAAAUCCCGAGCUUAACCUCGGAACUGCGCCUGAAACUACUUGGCUAGAGUACUGGAGAGGGUAACGGAAUUCACGGUGUAGCAGUGAAAUGCGUAGAGAUCGGAAAGAACACCAAUGGCGAAGGCAGCUCGCUGGGACGGUACUGACGCUGAGGCGCGAAAAGCGUGGGGAGCAAACAGGG